GCCCUGGUGGUGAAAUUGGUAGACACAAGGGAUUUAAAAUCCCUCGGCGUUCGCGCUGUGCCGGUUCAAGUCCGGCCCGGGGCACCA
rnacentral:tRNA from 2 species